GCAUUAUAGCCAAGUGGUUAUGGUGACAGAUUUGGAUCUAAGCUACUAUGUCCGAUUAUUAUUAUUCAUCUGUUUGUCUUUGAGGGUGAUGGUUCAAAUCCUGCUGGCA